ACACUCCUGCGGGAGGCAGCAGUGGGGAAUUUUGGACAAUGGGGGCAACCCUGAUCCAGCAAUGCCGCGUGAGUGAAGAAGGCCUUCGGGUUGUAAAGCUCUUUUGUCAGGGAAGAAACGGUGGUGGCGAAUAACUACUACUAAUGACGGUACCUGAAGAAUAAGCACCGGCUAACUACGUGCCAGCAGCCGCGGUAAUACGUAGGGUGCAAGCGUUAAUCGGAAUUACUGGGCGUAAAGCGUGCGCAGGCGGUUGUGUAAGUCAGAUGUGAAAUCCCCGGGCUCAACCUGGGAAUUGCAUUUGAGACUGCACGGCUAGAGUGUGUCAGAGGGGGGUAGAAUUCCACGUGUAGCAGUGAAAUGCGUAGAUAUGUGGAGGAAUACCGAUGGCGAAGGCAGCCCCCUGGGAUAACACUGACGCUCAUGCACGAAAGCGUGGGGAGCAAACAGGAUUAGAAACCCUGGUAGUCCC
rnacentral:rRNA from 1 species